rnacentral:rRNA from 1 species
GGUGGCCGCAGAGAAUAGGCCCAAGCGACUGUUUACCAAAAACAUAGGUUUCUGCUAAGUCGCAAGACGAUGUAUAGGAGCUGACGCCUGCCCGGUGCUGGAAGGUUAAGGGGAUCUGUUAGAGCAAUCGAAGCAGUGAACUUAAGCCCCAGUAAACGGCGGCCGUAACUAUAACGGUCCUAAGGUAGCGAAAUUCCUUGUCGGGUAAGUUCCGACCCGCACGAAAGGCGUAACGAUUUGGGCACUGUCGCAACAACAGACUCGGUGAAAUUGUAAUUCCGGUGAAGAUGCCGGAUACCUGCGACAGGACGGAAAGACCCCAUGGAGCUUUACUGUAGCUUGACAUUGGGUCUUGGUACUACAUGUACAGGAUAGGUGGGAGGCUUUGAAACCAGGACGCCAGUUUUGGCGGAGCCAUCCUUGGGAUACCACCCUUGUAGUACUGGGACUCUAACCAUAGGCCAUGAAUCUGGUCUUGGGACACUGUCAGGUGGGCAGUUUGACUGGGGCGGUCGCCUCCCAAAAGGUAACGGAGGCGCUCAAAGGUUCUCUCAGUACGGUCGGAAAUCGUACGUAGAGUGUAAAGGCAAAAGAGAGCUUGAUUGCAAGACAUACAGGUCGAGCAAGGAUGAAAAUCGGACUUAGUGAUCCGGUGGUUCUGCGUGGAAGGGCCAUCGCUCAACGGAUAAAAGCUACCCUGGGGAUAACAGGCUUAUCUCCCCCAAGAGUCCACAUCGACGGGGAGGUUUGGCACCUCGAUGUCGGCUCAUCACAUCCUGGGGCUGUAGUAGGUCCCAAGGGUUGGGCUGUUCGCCCAUUAAAGUGGUACGCGAGCUGGGUUCAGAACGUCGUGAGACAGUUCGGUCCCUAUCCGUCGCAGGCGUAGGAAAUUUGAGAAGACCUGUCCUUAGUACGAGAGGACCGGGAUGGACGUACCUCUGGUGUACCAGUUGU